rnacentral:rRNA from 1 species
UACGUAGGGGGCAAGCGUUGUCCGGAAUCAUUGGGCGUAAAGCGCGUGUAGGCGGCUCGGUAAGUCUGCUGUGAAAGUCCAGGGCUCAACCCUGGAAAGCGGGUGGAUACUGCCGGGCUAGAAUCCGGAAGAGGCGAGUGGAAUUCCUGGUGUAGCGGUGGAAUGCGCAGAUAUCAGGAGGAACACCAAUAGCGAAGGCAGCUCGCUGGGACGGUAUUGACGCUGAGGCGCGAAAGCGUGGGGAGCAAACAGG